rnacentral:tRNA from 1 species
GGUUUCGUGGUGUAGUGGUCAGCACGCUCGACGCGUAACCGAGAGGUCCGUGGUUCGAUUCCCGGCGAAGGCG